GAUGAAGAACGUAGCGAAAUGCGAUAAUUAAUGUGAAUUGCAGAAUUCCGUGAAUCAUCGAGUCUUUGAACGCACAUUGCGCCUCAUGGCAUUCCGUGAGGCAUGCCCAUCUCAGCGUUAGAAAAUAUUCUCAAAUUUUAGUUUUGUGCUAAAAUUUGGAACAUGUCAAGGAAGCUAUUACUAUUAUUGUGAUCGCUCUUUGGAAAUUGAUAGGUCUUUGAGUUGCUACUCAUAGAACGUGAUGAAUCUUUCUUCGUUCUAUUGUAAUUCACUCUGGUAGUCCUAAAACUUGUAUGCCUGUGGCAUAUCUUGUAAUUUGACCUGAGAUUGGGUAGGGAUACCCGCUGAACUUAAGCAUAUCAAUAAGCGGAGGA
rnacentral:misc_RNA from 1 species